rnacentral:rRNA from 1 species
CGUGCCUAACACAUGCAAGUCGAACGAGAAAGUGGAGCAAUCCAUGAGUAAAGUGGCGACCGGGUGAGUAACACGUGACUAACCUACCUCCGAGUGGGGAAUAACUCCGGGAAACCGGGGCUAAUACCGCAUAACAUCGCAAGAUCAAAGCUGCAAUGCGCUUGGAGAGGGGGUCGCGGCUGAUUAGCUCGUUGGCGGGGUAACGGCCCACCAAGGCGAAGAUCGGUAUCCGGCCUGAGAGGGCGCACGGACACACUGGAACUGAAACACGGUCCAGACUCCUACGGGAGGCAGCAGUGGGGAAUUUUGCGCAAUGGGGGAAACCCUGACGCAGCAACGCCGCGUGGAGGAUGAAGCCCUUUGGGGCGUAAACUCCUUUCGACUCGGACGAUAAUGACGGUACGAGUGGAAGAAGCACCGGCUAACUCUGUGCCAGCAGCCGCGGUAAUACAGAGGGUGCGAGCGUUGUUCGGAAUUAUUGGGCGUAAAGGGCGCG